rnacentral:lncRNA from 1 species
GAAGAGUCUUAGAGCCGCCUCGAGGAAGCGACGGAGUCUCAGAGCCGCCUCGAAGAGUGGUAGAGUCUUAGAGCCGCCUCGAACCAAAAGAACUACGAGAGAGGCCAACGAAGUGGAUCAAGGCGAGCCGCCUCGAACCAAAAGAACUACGAGAGAGGCCAACGAAGAGGAUCAAGGCGAUCCCAACCACUCGCUUCAAGGUAGCGGUGGAGUCCCAGAGCUGCCUCAAAGGAAGAGACGCCUCGAAGCAAAAUAACUACGGGAGCGGCCAACGAAGAGGAUCAAGGCGAUCCCAACUACUCGCUUCAAAGUAGCGGUGGAGUCUCAGAGCUGCCUCGAAGCAAUAGAACUACGGGAGCGUCCAACGAAGGUGGUCAAGGAAAUCUCAAACAACCGCUUCAAGUAGCGCAGGAGUCAUAGAACCACCUCGAAGGAAGAGAACAAUUGGAGCGGCCAACCUUGCAGGAUCUUCAGUGUCGGUCAUCUAGAUGAUUGCAGAGGAAUUACAAGCCUUAAUGGAGAAGACGGUGGCCAAAGUAGCAGCUUGGGCAGCAACGGACGUUGUAGCUCAGUAUAUCAAUGCUCAAAGCACAACUGACUUUGAAGAAACUAUUCAUAUGGGAAGCGAUCCUACGGAUUUCGUGCAUGUCCGUACCACUCCGCCAAUCUUGGAGCUCCAUGUCUCAGAGUAAAGAGUAUCGCUCAACGGCCAAAGUUAUUCCUCCGAACAGGCUCCUCGAAGAAACGCUCACCACCACCCGCCUCAGCGUAGCACAUCCUCAGACCGCG